rnacentral:rRNA from 1 species
CUAGGGGCCGAGAGGUUACUGAACCCUAUCAAACUUCAAAUGCCGGAAAAUGAUAGUCGGGAGUCAGACUGCGUGAGAUAAGUUUCGUAGUCGAAAGGGAAACAGCCCAGACCCACAGCUAAGGUCCCAAAGUACGGUUAAGUGGAAAAGGAUGUGGAGUUGCACAGACAACCAGGAUGUUGGCUUAGAAGCAGCCACUCAUUAAAAGAGUGCGUAAUAGCUCACUGGUCGAGUGACUCUGCGCCGAAAAUUUAACGGGGCUAAAUCGUACACCGAAGCUUGGGAUGCAUCUAUGAUGCAUGGUAGGAGAGCGUUGAAUGCGGGGUGAAGUCAGAGCGAAAGCGCUGGUGGACUGCAUUGAAGUGAGAAUGCCGGAAUGAGUAGCGAGAUUUAUGUGAGAAUCAUAAAGGCCGAAAGACUAAGGUUUCAGAAGGAAGGUUCGUCCGCUUCUGGUUAGCCGGGAGCUAAGGUGAGGCCGAAAGGCGUAGCCGAUGCACAUACGGUGGAGAUUCCGUAGCCGUCGAAAUAUUUAAGCAAAGGGACACUUAUGAAGGACAUGACCCGGGCGAUGGUAGCCCCGGGCGUAAGGGACUGAAAACAAGUAGGGAAGCAUGUUUGGAUUAAGGCGAGAAAAGCUUUGUGUAUAUAUCAGACGUCCGUACCGCAAACCGACACAGGUAGUCAGGAAGAGGAUUCUAAGGCCAACGGGAGAAGGGUAGUUAAGGAACUCGGCAAAUUGACCCCGUAACUUCGGGAUAAGGGGCGGUGCGUAAGCACCCGCAGUGAAUAGGUCCAGGCGACUGUUUAUCAAAAACACAGCUCUCUGCUAAAUCGAAAGAUGACGUAUAGGGGGUGACACCUGCCCGGUGCUGGAAGGUUAAGAGGAGGAGUGCAAGCUCCGAAUUGAAGCCCCAGUAAACGGCGGCCGUAACUAUAACGGUCCUAAGGUAGCGAAAUUCCUUGUCGGGUAAGUUCCGACCCGCACGAAUGGUGUAACGAUCUGGACGCUGUCUCAACUGCCCACCCGGCGAAAUUGUAGUACCGGUGAAGAUGCCGGUUACCCGCGGCAAGACGGAAAGACCCCAUGGAGCUUUACUGUAACUUGAUAUUGGGUCUUGGUAUUCUAUGUACAGGAUAGGCGGGAGACUAUGAAACAUACACGCCAGUGUAUGCGGAGUCACCCUUGGGAUACCGCUCUUAGAGUACUGAGAUUCUAACCUGCGGCCGUGAUCCGGUCGGGGGACAUUGUCAGGUGGGCAGUUUGACUGGGGCGGUCGCCUCCUAAAAGGUAACGGAGGCGCUCAAAGGUUAGCUCAGCACGGUCGGAAACCGUGCCUCUGAGUGCAAACGCAAAAGCUAGCCUAACUGCGAGGCUGACGGGCCGAGCAGUAACGAAAGUUGGAGUUAGUG